CUUUCGUAGGUGAGAGAAUCUAGCUCCUGACUGUGAAGAGGUGUAAAAUGGAACAAUACCUGUGAUGCUUAGUGACUAGAAUGCUGCAUUGGUAAGCCAUAGAGCUACUAAUUCUGUUAAUUAUUAAGUACCUACUAAACACUUUACAUGUUUUGACUCUUUGAAUCCUCAGAAUUAUGAAGUAGUUAGUAUUAUAUCCACAAUUUAUAGCUGAAGAAACUGCGGUCCAGAGACCUUAAGUAUUUUGUCCAAAGUCACACAGCUACUAAAUGGAAAAGUUGGGAUUUAAACCCAGGCAGUCUGGCACUAGUAAAUUCUUAAACAUUAUGCAUACUGCUCUUUCAGUUCUUUGUAUUCUGUACUUAUUUAAUAACAAAUACUUAAUGAUGCACUUCAAAUAUGCCAGGCACUCAACUAAGAGCUUGAAAUACUAGAAAACCAAGGCACAGAGAGACUGAGUAACCUGCAAAAGAUAUGAAGCCACUAAAUGGGAGAGCCUGGAUCGAUCUGACUCAAGUGAGUCUGGUUCUGGAGAGUCCAUGCUCUGCACUGCCUCCUGUGUGUUUUCUUCCAUUGUCUCUUAGUACUCCAUAGUCUCUUGUUAAAGAGUUAGCCUAUCCCAGGGAGACUUUAAAAUGGUUGUUUUGGGCUAAAGCACUAGAAAAGGUGUUAUCUGGGUUUGAGGGUAAGGUGUGGAGCAUGACCAGGGGAGGGCAGAACGGUCAUCAUCUGCACUAGCUAAUCUAAGGGAAAAGCAAAACCAACAGAGGAGAACAGCUGGUCAGUGUCCCUCCCUGGACAAAAGUUCUCCUUCCAGGGCUCACUGAUUCUACCCAUCUAAGGAAGAAAGCAGCUGCUCAUAGCCCUCUCCUCUCCUUGCCCUCCUCAGGCUUCCAGCUACCCCCUCUUGCUGAAUACUAUUCUUUUUUUCAUCCCUGUGCCACUGUUCUAGCUUUUCUUCUAAUAUUCUGACCACCCUUUUGGUGGUUUAUUUCAUUUCAUGUUAUUUUGUCUUUUUAAGGCCACACCAGUGGCACAUGGAGGUUCCCAGACUAGGGGUCAAAUUGGUCGAAUUAGCCUCCAGCCUACGCCACAGCCAUAGCCACACCAGAUUCAAGCCGCAUCCACAACCUAUGCUGCAGCUUGUGGUAAUGCCCUGGAUCCUUUAACCCACUAAGCAAGGGCAGGAAUUGAACCUGUAUCCUCAUGGAUACUAGUCAUGUUCUUAACCCACUAAACCACAACUGGAACUCUGGUGGGUUUAUUUAUUUAUUUAUUUAUUUAUUUAUUUAUUAUUUAGUCUUUUUAGGGCCACAUCUGUGGCAUAUGGAGGUUGCCAGGGUAGGGGUCUAAUUGGAGCUGUAGCUGCCAGCCUACUCCAGAGCCAAAGCAAUGCCAGAUCUGAUCCGCAUCUGCGACCUACAGCACAGCUCGCGGCAAUGCCGGAUCCUUAACCCACUGAGCAAGGCCAGGGAUUGAACCCAAAACCUCAUGGUUCCUAGUCGGAUUCGUUUCUGCUAUGCUAUGAUGGGAACUCCCUGGUGCGUUUAUUUUUAAUUGAGCUUCUUCUACUUGCUACCUUAUAACUGGGUUGUAUCCUGUGUAGCUUCAGUCCUUGGUCUGCAUUGUCUCCUGAUGCUGAGAACUCAUGGGUUUAACUAUCGCUAUGAGGCAAUGUUCUCCAAAUCUAGAGCCUCUUCAGAGUGGCUGAUCCCAUCUCCAGCAAUGGGUGAGGUAUAUUUUUACUCACGUAUCAUUUUACCUCAAAUUUUAGAAAUCCAAAAUGAAGUGAAUUGUCUAUACAUCCUCUUCUGUCACUGUCAGGCAUGGAGGGAUAACCUGGAGUGGACUGGCCUUAUCUCCUCUUGCCUCCAGCCAUGCUGUUGUUCAGCAUGUCUCAUCAUGCCUUCACCUAGCAAGAUUUCAUUUUCUUACUCCCUGCUAUAGAUGGAAUGUUUGCAUCUCUCCAAAAUUGAUAUGUUGAAACCUAAUCCCCAAUGUGACAAUGUGAUGGUAUUUGGAAGUGAGUCCUCAAAAGGGCAAUCAGGGCCUUAGGGUGGAGCCCUUAUGAAUGCGAUUAGUGCCCUUAGAAAAGAGACCUCAGAGAGUUCCCUUGAGCUUUUCACCGUAAGAGUGCACAGUGAAAAGACAGUUGCCUGCAUAUGGAUGGUCUUGAAAAGCCCAACAUCACUAAUUAUUAGAAAAAUACAAAUGAAAACUACAAUGAGGUACCACCUCACACUGGUCAGAAUGGCUAUGAGGUACCACCUCACACUGGUCAGAAUGGCUAUCAUUAAUAAGUCUGCAAAAAACACAUGCUGGAGAAGGUGAGGAGAAAAGGGAACUGGUGGUAGGAAUGUAAAUUGGUAUAACCACUAUGGAAAACAGUAUGAAAUUUCCUCAGAAAACUGAAAAUAGAACUACCAUAUGAUCCAGCAAUCCCACUCCUGAGCAUACAUCUGGACAAAACUAUAAUUCAAAGAGAUACAUGCACCACUAUGUUCACUGAAGCAGUAUUUGCAAUAAUCAAGUCAUGGAAACAGACAUCUAUCAACAGAUGAAUGGAUUAAGAAAAUGUGCAUAUACACAGUAGAUAUUACUUAGCCAUAAAAAAGAACAAAAUAAUGCCAUUUGCAGUUAACGUAGGUGCAACUAGAGAUUAUCAUGCUAAGUGAAGUAAGUCAAACAGAAAGACAAAUACCAUAUUGAUAUCACUUAUAUGUGGACUCUAAAAUGUGGCACAAAUGAUCCUAUCUACAUCAAAAACAGACUCACAGACAUAGAGAACAAACUUGUGGUUGCCAAGGGGAGAGCGGGUAGAGGAGGGAUAGACUAGGAGUUUGGGAUGAGUAAGUAGAUGCAAACUAUUAUAUUCAGAAUGGAUAAACAAUAAGGUCCUACUGUGCAGCCCAGGGAGCUAUAUCCAAUGUCCUGGGAUAGACCAUGAUGGAAAGUAAUAUAAAAGAAAGAAUGUAUAUAACUGAGUCACUGCUAUACAGCAGAAAUUGGCACAACAUUGUAAAUCAACU
rnacentral:lncRNA from 1 species